CUCUUCUCAAGGAUGAUAGAAGUGAUGUGAUACUCUUGAAGUUCUUGAGGGCCAGGGAGUUCAAAGUAAAAGAUGCAUUUAUCAUGAUCCAGAGCACAAUCCGAUGGAGGAAGGAAUUUAAAAUCGAUGAACUUCUUGAUGAAGAUCUAGGCGAUGAUUUGGAUAAAGUUGUGUUUAUGCAUGGUCAUGACAGGGAGGGGCAUCCUGUGUGCUAUAAUGUGUAUGGGGAGUUUCAGAAUAAAGAAUUGUAUCAAAAGACAUUUGCUGACGAGGAGAAGAGAAUGAAGUUUCUGCGGUUUCGGAUUCAGUUCUUAGAGAGGAGUAUAAGGAAGCUUGAUUUUAGUCCUGGUGGUAUUUCUACCAU
rnacentral:misc_RNA from 1 species